rnacentral:rRNA from 1 species
UGGGGAAUAUUGGGCAAUGGGGGAAACCCUGACCCAGCAACGCCGCGUGAAGGAAGAAGGUCUUCGGAUCGUAAACUUCUAUCCUCGGUGAAGAGGAGAAGACGGUAGCCGAGAAGGAAGCCCCGGCUAACUACGUGCCAGCAGCCGCGGUAAUACGUAGGGGGCAAGCGUUGUCCGGAAUGAUUGGGCGUAAAGGGCGUGUAGGCGGCUAAGUAAGUCUGGAGUGAAAGUCCUGCUUUUAAGGUGGGAAUUGCUUUGGAUACUGCAUAGCUAGAGUGCAGGAGAGGUAAGUGGAAUUCCCAGUGUAGCGGUGAAAUGCGUAGAGAUUGGGAGGAACACCAGUGGCGAAGGCGACUUACUGGACUGUAACUGACGCUGAGGCGCGAAAGUGUGGGGAGCAAACAGGAUUAGAUACCCUGGUAGUCCACACUGUAAACGAUGAAUGCUAGGUGUAGGUGGUAUCGACCCCAUCUGUGCCGGAGUAAACACAAUAAGCAUUCCGCCUGGGGAGUACGGCCGCAAGGUUGAAACUCAAAGGAAUUGACGGGGGCCCGCACAAGCAGCGGAGCAUGUGGUUUAAUUCGAAGCAACGCGAAGAACCUUACCAGGUCUUGACAUCCAGUAAAGCCUGUAGAGAUACAGAGUCCCUUCGGGGGUACUGAGACAGGUGGUGCAUGGUUGUCGUCAGCUCGUGUCGUGAGAUGUUGGGUUAAGUCCCGCAACGAGCGCAACCCUUAUCCCCAGUAGCCAGCAUUUCGGAUGGGCACUCUGUGGAGACUGCCAGGGACAACCUGGAGGAAGGUGGGGAUGACGUCAAAUCAUCAUGCCCCUUAUGACUUGGGCUACACACGUGCUACAAUGGCGUAAACAAAGGGAAGCGAGACCGCGAGGUGGAGCAAAUCCCAAAAAUAACGUCCCAGUUCGGAUUGUAGUCUGCAACUCGACUACAUGAAGCUGGAAUCGCUAGUAAUCGCAGAUCAGAAUGCUGCGGUGAAUACGUUCCC